GCCCGGUUAGCUCAAUCGGUAGAGCGUGAGACUCUUAAUCUCAAGGUUGCGGGUGAGUACCGUAUUCGACG